AAAUGUGUUUAUGUUGGUGAGUAAUGAAGAGAUAACUUCUGUAAAGGAAGUUGUGGAGAAGGUCACUAGAAACAAGCCUCCUCUUCCUCUUCCUCCUUCUCCUCUUCCUCCUCCUCCUCCUGCUCAUUAUUCUGAUAAUCCACAUCUUCCUGAUUCUUCGAAUUCCUCCUCUGCCUCCUGCUUCUUAUACCUACUUCUACUAAUCUUUUCUCCAGCUCCUAAUGCCCUCUUCCUCUUAUUCUCUUCUUUUCUGACUCUUCCACUCUUUCCUCAUAUUCCAUUUUUUUUUUUUGCUCCUCUUCCUCCUUCUGAUUCUCUCUUCUACCUAAUUCUUCUCCAGCUUUUUUCCCUUUCUACUCUCCUCCUCCUCCGCCUAUUCCUGCUCCUCCUCCUGCUGCUGCUGCUGCUGCUCCUCCUCCUCCUGGAGCACUUCACCCUGGUCCCCCUGAAGUUCAUCAACAGGUGGAAGACUAACACUAGUGUGGUGGGUCAGGUGACCCCAGGUACGCUGUAGUGGAGGACCGUCAAGGGGAAGGUCUGAGGAACGUGUUGGUGAUCCGGGACGCCGUCAGCCAUGACUUCGGCGCCUACAAUUGCUCUGUAGUAAACGAAUACGGCGUCGCCAGGAAGCAGAUCAGACUUAACGAAGAAACAGGCAGAGUGCCGGUGGUGCUGGUUGCUGGAGGCGUGACGGUGCUGCUGGUCAUGGCUGUGGGUCUCUCUUCACUCUUCUUCUGCAAUAAGCGACAACCUGAGGGUAAAGGAGAUAUUGAAGUGUAAUGAAGGAAGAUGUUGGCAGUGAUGAAGGAAGAUGUUGGCAGUGAUGAAGGAAGAUGUUGGCAGUGAUGAAGGAAGAUGUUGGCAGUGAUGAAGGAAGAUGUUGGCAGUGAUGAAGGAAGAUGUUGGCAGUGAUGAAGGAAGAUGUUGGCAGUGAUGAAGGAAGAUGUUGGCAGUGAUGAAGGAAGAUGUUGGCAGUGAUGAAGGAAGAUGUUGGCAGUGAUGAAGGAAGAUGUGGCAGUU